rnacentral:tRNA from 1 species
GCCCGUAUAGCUCAGGGGUAGAGCGUACCCUUGGUAAGGGUGAGGCCGUGAGUUCGAGUCUCACUAUGGGCU